UACGUAGGGUGCAAGCGUUAAUCGGAAUUACUGGGCGUAAAGCGUGCGCAGGCGGUUUUGUAAGUCAGAUGUGAAAUCCCCGGGCUUAACCUGGGAACUGCGUUUGAAACUACAAGGCUAGAGUGUGACAGAGGGGGGUGGAAUUCCACGUGUAGCAGUGAAAUGCGUAGAGAUGUGGAGGAACACCGAUGGCCAAGGCAGCCCCCUGGGUUAACACUGACGCUCAGGCACGAAAGCGUGGGGAGCAAACAGG
rnacentral:rRNA from 1 species